rnacentral:rRNA from 1 species
UGACCUCAAAUCAGGUAGGACUACCCGCUGAACUUAAGCAUAUCAAUAAGCGGAGGAGAAAAAACUAACAAGGAUUCCCCUAGUAACGGCGAGUGAAGCGGGAUGAGCUCAAAUUUGAAAGCUGGCAUCUUCGGUGUC